rnacentral:rRNA from 1 species
UACGUAGGGUGCGAGCGUUAAUCGGAAUUACUGGGCGUAAAGCGUGCGCAGGCGGUCAUUUAAGACAGUUGUGAAAUCCCCGGGCUCAACCUAGGAACUGCAUCUGUGACUGGAGUGCUGGAGUACGGUAGAGGGGGAUGGAAUUCCGGGUGUAGCAGUGAAAUGCGUAGAGAUCAGGAGGAACACCGAUGGCGAAGGCAGCCCCCUGGGCCGGUACUGACGCUCAUGCACGAAAGCGUGGGGAGCAAACAGG